CAGCCGCCACGGGAAUACGAAGGGUGCAAGCGUUAAUCGGAAUUACUGGGCGUAAAGCGUGCGUAGGCGGUUUGUUAAGUCUGUUGUGAAAUCCCCGGGCUCAACCUGGGAAUGGCAAUGGAUACUGGCAAGCUAGAGUGUGUCAGAGGAUGGUGGAAUUCCCGGUGUAGCGGUGAAAUGCGUAGAGAUCGGGAGGAACAUCAGUGGCGAAGGCGGCCAUCUGGGACAACACUGACGCUGAGGCACGAAAGCGUGGGGAGCAAACAGGAUUAGAUACCCCAGUAGUCCCUGUCUCUUAUAA
rnacentral:rRNA from 1 species